rnacentral:rRNA from 1 species
CAGCAGCCGCGGUAAUACGGGGGGAGCAAGGCGUUGUUCGGAUUUACUGGGCGUAAAGGGCGCGCUAGGCGGCUCUACAAGUCACUUGUGAAAUCUCCGGGCUUAACUCGGAACGGUCAAGUGAUACUGUCGAGCUAGAGUGCAGAAGGGGCAAUUGGAAUUCUCGGUGUAGCGGUGAAAUGCGUAGAUAUCGAGAGGAACACCAGAGGCGAAGGCGGAUUGCUGGGCUGACACUGACGCUGAGGCGCGAAAGCUAGGGGAGCGAACGGGAUUAGAUACCCCGGUAGUCCUAGCCUUAAACGAUGAAUGCUUGGUGUCUCGGGUUACAUAGUCCCGGGGUGCCGUCGCUAACGCUUUUAGCAUUCCGCCUGGGGAGUACGCACGCAAGUGUGAAACUCAAAGAAAUUGACGG